rnacentral:rRNA from 1 species
AGAAUCAACGCUGGCGGCGUGCCUAACACAUGCAAGUCGAACGAGAAAGGGUAGCAAUACCUGAGCAAAGUGGCGCACGGGUGAGUAACACGUGACUAACCUACCCUGGAGUGGGGGAUAACUGAGGGAACCUUAGCUAAUACCGCAUAAUACCUACGGGUCAAAGGAGCAAUUCGCUUCAGGAGGGGGUCGCGGCCGAUUAGUUAGGUUGGCGGGGUAAUGGCCCACCAAGACGAUGAUCGGUA